rnacentral:rRNA from 1 species
AACGAACGCUGGCGGCAUGCCUAACACAUGCAAGUCGAACGGGAUCCUAGCUUGCUAGGUGAGAGUGGCGGACGGGUGAGUAACACGUGGGAAUCUGCCUUUUGGUUCGGGAUAACCGCGGGAAACUGCGGCUAAUACCGAAUGCCCUCGAGAGAGGAAAGAUUUAUCGCCAGAAGAGGAGCCCGCGUCCGAUUAGGUAGUUGGUGGGGUAAAGGCCUACCAAGCCGACGAUCGGUAGCUGGUCUGAGAGGAUGAUCAGCCACACUGGGACUGAGAUACGGCCCAGACUCCUACGGGAGGCAGCAGUGGGGAAUAUUGGACAAUGGGGGCAACCCUGAUCCAGCAAUGCCGCGUGAGUGAUGAAGGCCUUAGGGUUGUAAAGCUCUUUUGCCAGGGAAGAUGAUGACUGUACCUGGAGAAUAAGCUCCGGCUAACUCCGUGCCAGCAGCCGCGGUAAU